rnacentral:lncRNA from 1 species
CUUAUUCUAUGGAACCUAUACAAAAAUUUUCAUAAUUUAUGGAUCAGCACAUGAUUUAUUACACAACAUCAAACAUAUGUCACAAUUUUGAAUAAAAGAAAAAAGAAAAAGCUCACUGCUCCCACGGUCGGCCCGCUUGGCCUUGGCCCAAACCGGCCCGAGCACUUCCCGCGCCCAGCGCCCUCUCCCCCUCUCUCUCACGC